rnacentral:rRNA from 1 species
CCUACGGGGGGCAGCAGUGGGGAAUAUUGGACAAUGGGCGAGAGCCUGAACCAGCCACGUAGCGUGAAGGAUGACUGCCCUACGGGUUGUAAACUUCUUUUAUAAAGGAAUAAAGUGAGGCUCGUGUGCCUUUUUGUAUGUACUUUAUGAAUAAGGAUCGGCUAACUCCGUGCCAGCAGCCGCGGUAAUACGGAGGAUCCGAGCGUUAUCCGGAUUUAUUGGGUUUAACGGGAGCGUAGAUGGGUUGUUAAGUCAGUUGUGAAAGGUUGCGGCGUAGCCGUAAAAUUGCAAUUGAUACUGGCAGUCUAGAGUACAGUUGAGGUAGGCGGAAUUCGUGGUGGAGCGGUGAAAUGCUUAGAUAUCACGAAGAACUCCAAUUGCGAAGGCAGCUUACUAAACUGCCACUGACAUUGAGGCUCGAAAGUGUGGGUAUCAAACAGGAUUAGAUACCCCAGUAGUC